GGCUCUGUGGCGCAAUGGAUAGCGCGUUGGACUUCUAAUUCAAAGGUUGUGGGUUCGAGUCCCACCACAGUCGA